rnacentral:rRNA from 1 species
UAGGUGUCGGGGGUUACCCCCUUCGGUGCCGCAGCUAACGCAUUAAGUACUCCGCCUGGGAAGAACGCUCGCAAGAGUGAAACUCAAAGGAAUUGACGGGGACCCUCACAAGUAGCGGAGCAUGUGGGUUAAUUCGGAGCAACGAGAAGAACCUUACCUAAGCUUGAGAUCCCAAUGACAUCUCCUUAAUCGGAGAGUUCCCUUCGGGGACAUUGGUGACAGGUGGUGCAUGGUUGUGGUAAGCUCGUGUCGAGAGAUGUUGGGUGAAGUGCCGCCACGAGCGCAACCGUUGGCUUUAGUUGCCAUCAUUAAGUUGGGCACUCUAGAGAGACUGCCAGGGAUAACCUGGAGGAAGGUGGGGAUGACGUCAAAUCAUCAUGCCCCUUAUGCUUAGGGCUACACACGUGCUACAAUGGGUAGUACAGAGGGUUGCCAAGCCGUAAGG